rnacentral:pre_miRNA from 1 species
UGGUAAACGGAGUAGUGGUUCCUGAAAAAUGAUUUCUUCUGGAAUCCUCUCUGUUUGCUUGA